rnacentral:rRNA from 1 species
AUGGAGGCAACGGCGGUUAGCGUGGGCAAAGCCGUGCUUGAUGGUGCGCUGGGCUACGCCAAGUCGAAGGCGGCGGAGGAAAUCGCGUUGCAGCUCGGCGUCGAGCGCGAUGUGGACUUCAUCAAGGAUGAGCUGCAGAUGAUGCAGUCAUUCCUGAUGACGGCGGAUGAGGAGCAAAGCCAGAACAAGGUGCUCACCACCUGGGUGAAACAGAUCGGGGUCCUGGCCUACAAGGUGGAGGACAGCCUCAUGGAUUUUGGCCUCCACUCAGAGAAAAAGCCAUUUUUGGGGUGCAUCCCCCGCAAUCCGGGUGAUCGACGCCGCAUCGCCAAGGAGGUGAAGGAGCUGAGGGCCAAAGUGGAGGACGUGAGCAACAGGAACCUGCGCUACCGCCUCAUCAAUGAAAGCUCAGGCUCCAAGCCUACUGCGGCAAGGGAGCAGGCAAGCAUUGCCACUUCGGCAAUGUUUGGCAUCAACGAGACGAGGCUUGAAAAUUCAUCAGAGGUGGGCCUCCAUCAGCUGAUUACCAGCAACGAUGUGGACCUUAGGGUGAUUGCCUUGUGGGGAACUUGUAGUGAUCUCGGGAAGACGACCGCCAUCCAGGAGGUUUAUGAUGACCAUGAGGUAUUGCAACGGUUUGGAUUCCGUGCUUGGAUUAGGUUGAUGCAUCCUUUCAAUCCACAAGAGUUCCUCAAGAGUUUGUUAAAGCAAUUUUAUGAAAAUUCACAUGAUGAGGUUGGAGAGGCAGAACAAGAGACAAGUGUCGGGGCUAAUGUUUUGGCCAUGAUGAGGAAGAUGGAUCAAAGUGAUUUAAUUCGUGAGUUUAAUGUGCAGUUGUGUAGCAAUAGCUACCUGAUUGUGAUUGAUGACUUAUCAACAAUAGUGCAGUGGCAUUGCAUUAAGAAGUAUUUUCCCGACAACAAGAAACAAAGUAGAAUCAUUGUUUCCGCACAACAAGUUGAAAUUGCAAGAUUGUGCAUAGAGAAACCGUGUCAAGUUUCAGAGUUCAAGCAGCUGACAUGUGAUCAAACUAUUUAUUUGUUCCACAAGAAGAAUUCAGAGGAGCAGGUCGUCCUGGGCAGAAUUGCUAGAAAGAUGUUUGAUCGCAGCAGGACACUGGCACUGGCUGAUGAAGUGCUCUGUGGGCGAGAAACAGACAAAUCUUUUGUUAUCAGACUAGUUGGCCAACCAUACAGCAAUCGAGGCUCUAAUGUGAUCUCAGUUUGGGGAAAGGGCUAUCUUGGAAAAACAACUCUUGUCCGAAGUGUCUACCGAAGCCAAGAGCUUGGUGGCUGGAAGCGUGCUUGGGUCACUGUAUCACACCCUUUUAACCCUGAAGCACUCCUUAGAGAUUUGGCUUUGCAGCUUCGGAAUGCUAUUCCAGAAGAUCGUGCUGGAUCAACAGCAACUGGAGAACAAAAGAAAAUAAUAUCAGAGAUGAAACUUCAAGAGUUGGAGGAGGAGCUAGCUCGGGUACUAAUAAGGCAAAGGUGCCUUGUUGUUGUUGAUGAUAUAUGGUUCACUUCUGAAUGGGAUUUGGUCAAACAGGGUUUACAUAAUGCUGGAAAGAUCAUAGUCACGACAAGAGAAGGAUAUAUUGCCAAACAUUGUUCUCGAGACGACAAGAACAUCUACUGUCUUCAAGGUCUGAUGGCUGAUGGUGCACUUGACCUCUUCAUAGAAAAGGUAUUCAAGAACAAUACUGAAAAAAAUUAUUUAACCCCAGCAAUGAUGGAGCAAGCAAAAAUUACUGUACAGAAAUGUCAUGGACAUACCCUUGCAAUAUUGACAAUUGGUGGAUUCCUAGCCACUAGGCCAAAAACUGCUAUUGAAUGGAGGAAGAUGAAUGAUUGUAUUAGCACUGAAUUUGAUACAGAUCCAGAACUUACUACAAUAAAGACAAUCCUUAUGAGGAGCUAUGAUGGUUUGCCAUAUCAUCUCAAGUCUCCUUUCUUGUACCUAUCCAUAUUUCCAAAAGACUGGAGAAUGAGGUGGGGUCGCUUGGUGAGGCGGUGGAUUGCAGAGGGUUACUCAAAGGAUAUGCGUUCCAUGACUGCAGUUGAAGUUUGUCAGAUGUAUUUUGACGAGCUCCUGGAUAGGGGUAUGAUCCUUCCAUGGGAAGGGACAAACCAUUACCAUGAGAAAAUCAGCUCUUGGCAGCUUCAUGAUAUGAUCCGUGCAAUAUGCAUCCCAAAGGCUAGGGAGGACAACCUUGUUUCCACACUGGAGGAAGGAUGCUGUUUAAGCGACCCACAAGAUGCAAUAAGGCAUCUUGUCAUACGCCGCAGCUGGAAAAGGGAUAAAGAUGUGCUGGAGAGCAAGCUAGACUUGUCACAUGUGCGGUCAUUGACCGUGUUCGGAGAAUGGAGAUCGUUUUUCAUCUCCGAUAAUAUGAGGUUCCUCCGAGUGCUCGACUUAGAAGAUGCAAUAGGGUUAAGGGAUCAUCAUCUUGAUCAAAUUGGGAAGCACCGUCACCUCAAGUACCUUUCUCUACGAGGAUGUCAUGACAUUUUAUCCCUGCCUAACUCUUUGGGGAAUUUGAGGCACCUUGAAACACUGGACGUUAGAGGUACACUUAUACAUGAGUUGCCAACAACAAUCACCAAUUUUCUGGAGCUGCAGUGCCUUCAUGCAGAUGAUCUUUUCUUGAGACCACAAGUUUUAGAUGCUUGUUUGAACAGGUAUGAUUUAUUCAGUCUACACUGCUUCUCGAAGGAGUGUUCAGAAAAUGUUAUCCUUCCUAGAGGGAUUGGCAGGUUGAAGGCCCUUGACACACUAGGUUUCGUCAAUGUUUCUGGGAGAAACGGAAGUUCCACUAUUAAACAGUUCGGAUAUCUUACUCAGCUGCGUAAGCUUAGAGUGGCUGGUAUCAGCGGGGAAGACAGUAAUGAGUUAUGGUCUGCCAUCUCUGGUCACAGUCAACUUCGAUCUCUGUCAGUGAAAGGGAAUGAGUUAGAUGGUUGUUUUGGUGAGGGUUUGUUACGACCUGCAAGCUUCCAGUCGCUGCAUAAGCUUCAGAAUCUCUCCAAGUUGAAGCUAGAGCAUACCCUGUUGAAGCAAGAUGAUGAUGCCAUACAAGCCCUUGGGUGUCUACCAAAUCUUGUAGUUCUACACCUGAUGAUUGAUUCAUUCACGGGUACAGAGCUCCAUUUUCAGAGCUCAUCUUUCCCGAGUCUCAUGGUGCUGCAGCUUGUUGGACUAAGAGGCCUCCAGUUGGUGUUUUUUCAUGCAGGCACGAUGCCUCAGCUCAAGCUGUUACAAGUUGGUCUUUGCUCAGAGCUGAAAGACAUCUCGUGUCUACCAUCCCUCACCAACCUCGAUGAAAUUCGGUUUACUUCUCUCAAUGGAAGUGUGAAGGAAGAGGUGCAGAGGCAGGUAGCCGAGCAUAUGAGGCAUGUCAGACUGAAUAUUGUGGACUAA